ACCACACAUCUCUCACAUUACCUCUUAUCCUCUUGGCCGGCCAUCCUCUCUUCUUAUUUUCUUUUCUUUCUUUUCUUUUCUCUCAUAAACUCCUCUCUAUCACUCUCUCAUCCUCUCACCGGUACCUCCUUAUCACCAUCUCCACCAUCAUUUUUCCGACAAUAUCACCAGAAAAUCCUUAGGAACCUCUAAGCACAUUCACCUCUUUUAUUUGAGGUUUGUUUGAUAUUGUUGAGGUUCUAGCUAAUCUCAUUUGGAGUUUGGAGAAUUAGGCUUUUUGUGGGUUGCAAGGUAAGUAGCUUUUUAAUGGGAUUUUUGAAAAAUAAUCAUGUUGUAUAAAUGUUGUUUUUGGGUUAGACACGCUUUUGGUAACUACCUAUGGAAACUAUUUUUGCUAAAAACUAUUGUGUCGUAACCUUAAUAUAUAUAUAUAUAUAUAUAUGAUUAUAUAUAUGAAAAUGCUUCAUAUUUGGUAUCUCAUUUGGGGAAUGUAUGAAUUGUUGACAUGGCAAAUAUGAGCAUCUUUUAUUUAAUCUUUGAUAAGGAAAUCAUAGAUUUUAUGGUAUAUUAGAAAAUUUAAAGAUGCUCAUCUUGUUUUGUAUUAUUUGGGAAAUUGAUAGAAAAUCUCUUGACAAGAAUGAAGUUGAAAACCUUAUAAACUUUGUAGAAGUUAGAUUAUUUAAGGUUUUUCUGAAACUACCUAGUUAUAAACUAUAUAUUUGAAAGGAAAUGUAUACCUGUGAGCUUUAUGUGGUUUUGACACCAUGCCAUGUGUGAUUUCCCGGUGAUCACCCGAUUUGGUUUCUGUAGUCUUUGUGACAAUGGAAUCAAAUCCAGGUUAGUGCCCUUUCACUUUGGAUGACGCAUUCUUCCCCGCUGCCCAUGGGGGAAAGAGGUUCCUUGAUUGCGUGUGAGUGAGGCUGCUGCCCAUGGGGCCAAGAGACCACAUGCAAGAGAGGUCCUAUUUGAUGCGCUCUCUCUACUGCUCAUAGGGGGAGAGAAAAAUCUUGAGGGUAUGGGUGAGGCUGCUGUCCAUGGGGCCAAGAGUUUGCAUACCAGAGAGGAUAAUAUCAUGCCAGUUGUGAAUGGGUGGAUCCCCUGACCGGUCUAUGUGGUAGCAUGGUAGAUUUGUGAUAAAAUUACCGUAUGUAGAUUUUAUGGCUUUGGAAAUUAUAUUAUUAGUGCUCACAGAUUAUAAUAUACAGUUUCAUGGUAUUAUUUUGAGAAAUUUUGUGUUUCAUCAUUUAAUCAUUCUUGUUACAUUAUUAUUGAAAAUGAUCUUGCCGUAUUCAGUUAGCAAUUUCCCAAACUAAAACAUGUUUUGUAAACUAUUCAGUAUCAUGAAACUUGCAUUUCCCCCCACCCCCAUUAAUUAUGCUACUUACUAGGCAUUAGCUCAUCCCACCCUCUAACAGUUUUUCAGAUUCACAAGCUAUACCUUGGGUAUGGAGCUUACUUCUUUGGUGAUGAUUAGAGUGCUAUAUUAAAUUUGGAGACUUUUGCUGUAAAUGGUUGAUGACUCGAUCUUGCUAUAUUCAAUGAGACCUUGAUUAAUUCUAUUGGAGGUGGGCCGCUUGAGAUUUGUUAGCCUUUGGCGUGGUAGGCCUAGACUCGAUGUUAAGGUCCUUAAUCUUGAUAAGAUUGUGACUUUGUGUAAUUUAAUGAGUUUUGUAAUAUAUUCAUGUAUUAUGUGGAGGUAAAUGAUUUUUAGUUAUUGUU